GCAGCACGGGGGCAACCCUGGUGGCGAGUGGCGAACGGGUGAGUAAUAUAUCGGAACGUACCCGGAAAUGGGGGAUAACGCAGCGAAAGUUGCGCUAAUACCGCAUAUGCCCUGAGGGGGAAAGCGGGGGAUCCGCAAGGACCUCGCGUUUUCGGAGCGGCCGAUAUCGGAUUAGCUAGUAGGUGGGGUAAAGGCCUACCUAGGCGACGAUCCGUAGCUGGUCUGAGAGGACGACCAGCCACACUGGAACUGAGACACGGUCCAGACUCCUACGGGAGGCAGCAGUGGGGAAUUUUGGACAAUGGGCGAAAGCCUGAUCCAGCCAUGCCGCGUGAGUGAAGAAGGCCUUCGGGUUGUAAAGCUCUUUCAGCCGGAAAGAAAGCGCAUGAGUGAAUAACCUGUGUGGAUGACGGUACCGGAAGAAGAAGCACCGGCUAACCACGUGCCAGCAGCCGCGGUAAUACGUAGGGUGCGAGCGUUAAUCGGAAUUACUGGGCGUAAAGCGUGCGCAGGCGGUUUUGUAAGACAGAUGUGAAAUCCCCGGGCUUAACCUGGGAACUGCAUUUGUGACUGCAAGGCUAGAGUACGGCAGAGGGGGGUAGAAUUCCACGUGUAGCAGUGAAAUGCGUAGAUGUGUGGAGGAAUACCGAUGGCGAAGGCAGCCCCCUGGGUCGAUACUGACGCUCAUGCACGAAGGCGUGGGGAGCAAACAGGAUUAGAUACCCUGGUAGUCCACGCUGUAAACGAUGAUUACUCGUUGUUGGCGAUAUAUUGUCAGCGACUGAGCGAAAGCAUUAAGUA
rnacentral:rRNA from 1 species